GCGAGUGAGCAAGCUAGGAAGGUGGUGGGGAGGGGGGGGAAAUCAAGGAAACGUCUAGCAUCGCAGAUAAACAGCCCGAAGACGUGUGAGCCCAGCGGUCACACGGCUGUAACCGGCACCAAAAAAAGAACCGUAAAAGGCUCCGUGACGCUGCGAGGGUCACCAUGUCUGAGACGUACGACUUCCUGUUCAAGUUCCUGGUGAUCGGCAGCGCCGGGACGGGGAAAUCCUGCCUCCUGCACCAGUUCAUCGAGAACAAAUUUAAACAGGACUCCAACCACACCAUCGGCGUGGAGUUUGGGUCGAGGGUGGUCAACGUCGCCGGGAAGACGGUCAAACUGCAGAUCUGGGACACCGCCGGACAGGAGCGAUUUCGCUCUGUGACGCGCAGCUACUACAGAGGAGCGGCUGGAGCUCUCCUGGUGUAUGACAUCACCAGUCGGGAAACUUACAACGCGCUCACCAACUGGCUGACGGAUGCCCGGACGCUAGCCAGCCCCAACAUCGUUAUCAUCCUGUGCGGCAACAAGAAGGACCUGGACGCAGAGAGGGAGGUGACCUUUCUGGAGGCCUCGCGAUUCGCGCAGGAGAACGAGCUGAUGUUUCUGGAGACGAGCGCUCUGACGGGGGAAAACGUCGAGGAGGGAUUCCUGAAAUGCGCUCGCAUCAUCCUCAACAAGAUAGAUUCAGGAGAGUUGGACCCAGAGAGGAUGGGCUCAGGAAUCCAAUACGGAGACGCGUCGCUGAGGCAGCUGCGGCAGCCGCGAGGCACGACGACGCCGAACAAGCAGCAGUGCAACUGCUAGGGAUGGGACUCCCUCGCUUGAACCCACAGGCCCGCACAGACAGACCGCCCCCUACAGCUCAUCUCCAGGUGUUUUUGGGUGUGUGUGGCUGCCGUCUCAAGCACUUUAGAUCACCCGGACAAGUGUUGGUGGGGGUGUGGGG